GCUCUGGUGGCCUAGUGGUUAGGGCAUUUGCCUCGGAUGCAAGAGGUUGUGGGCUUGAACCCCUGCCAAAUCA